rnacentral:rRNA from 1 species
UACGUAGGCAGCGAGCGUUGUUCGGAGUUACUGGGCGUAAAGGGUGUGUAGGCGGUUGUUUAAGUUUGGUGUGAAAUCUCCCGGCUCAACUGGGAGGGUGCGUCGAAUACUGAAUGACUUCGAGUGCGGGAGAGGAGAGUGGAAUUCCUGGUGUAGCGGUGAAAUGCGUAGAUAUCAGGAGGAACACCGGUGGUGUAGACGGCUCUCUGGACCGUAACUGACGCUGAGACACGAAAGCGUGGGUAGCAAACAGG